CAUGUCUUGCUGCAGUUACUGGCAUAUCCUGUCCAACCCCAUCCCCCAACAUGACUGCAUUACAAACAAGGCUAGAAAGGCAACAACAAAAUUUAAGGACUGCACUGAAGAUGAGCAGGGAAAAAAAUACUCAUCACCAAACAAACAAAGGACACACACUCUCAGGGCUGCAUUCAUUCACAAGAAGCGGGUCAGGAAGACCUGGAAAAGGAACAGCUGGACCCAGAGCACACAAGAGAAGGCUCUAUCUGCAACAGCCUGUACAGGAGUAGCUUAUGCAGCCAGAAAAAAAUUCAGCCUACUCAGAUGGAUGCAAAAGAACAGGAUGGCUAAACAACUAGCUGGUGCCAAAUCCUGCUCACAGAUUAAUGAAAUGGAAAAUAAAAUGGAUGGAGUAGUCCAGUUCCUGAAAAGUGAGGAAUUUCUGAUCUUCACACCUAUGGGACACAGCAUCUUCAUCCCUCAGCCCUGCUCUUCGAUGCUUCACAGACAUUUGCUGCACUGAGCUUCCUGGCCAGCAAACACAUUACCCAAGGGUCUCUAUUUGCCUGUACAUUACCAUAAAGCAAUGAAGAAGAGUGCAGUUCUCACCCUCUCCAUCAUCCAGUAACAGGCAGAAAUUGAUGGUUAAAUUAAUGUUUUUUUCAGUGUACAGGGCAGCAUUUAUCAGAGUUAGGUGCCUAAGCACAGACUACAAGAUCGUUGUCUUGGCACCUUGAAAGGAAUAACUUGAUUUUCAGAAGGGCUCAGCACCGCUGAUGAGAAUUACAGAUACUGGCUUCUGCAUGGGAACAGCCAAACCUAACAUUUAUUUAGGUUGUCAGAGCACUAUAAGGAUGUGUAAAGGUAAAGCAGUUCAGAGAAUUGAGAUCCAGGCUUAAGGAUAAGUACGAUAUUUCAUCCAAAAAAGCGAGAUUAAAAAGAGAAAGCAAGAGGUGGAGAGAAUGAAGAUGCUAUGAGGUCAGAGCUGGCUCUUAAGACUAUUGCUUUCCUGUUGUCCUUCCUUAGAGACAGGAAAAAAAAAAAACAAACAACACAACAACAAAACAUAAAACCAAAAGAGAUUAUGUGCAUUCCUUUUAUUCUUUCAAUCUGCCACUCACAGAAACCUUAUAGAUGUCAUCACGCCCCAAAACCGGGAGCCCAGAGAAGGACUGAACAAACAUUCAUGGUACUUUCCAAGCUGCAUUAGCAAGGAUUAAAUACAAGAAAGAUUGGAAGGGAUAUAAAACUCCUGCUUAAGCCUUCUCCCUUAUCUGAAGGGCAAAGAAAUGUGCAUCCGGGUCAGCUCAUUUCAUAAUUGCUUCCCUCAGAGGGCUUUAACUACCACCUUUGCUGCAUCUGGUGUUUGUCACUGCCAGAGAGGGUGACGCUCGCUCAGAGCAUCAAUUCCCUUAAAUCAGCCCAGCUGUACAUACAUUUCUCAUGAGCCACAGAAACACUGUUUUUGAGUCCGAUUACGCCCUGGGCAGAGAAGCAACAAGUUCCUGCCCAUUUAUUUACCAUUCUUGCAGUGCUUUCUGCUUGUUUGGACAUGUUUGAUCAAGACUACUUCUCUGGGUCACAGUUCUUGGUUGGGAGCUGGGGAAGCUGCUUUUACUUCUUGGGUGCAUUUUAUAUAACUUUUGUGAGGCUGCGCUAGUUUGGCCAUGGCAGUCUUCACCCCUCAGACCUCCUGCCAACACACUGGACCAAUUUCUCUUGACCUUGCCCAAGGCACUGGCGUGGGUCAACAGAGGCCCCACCUCACUGGGCUUUUGUCCCUUGCUGAGGAAUCAAGAGAUUGUUUAGGAUGUGCCCAUGGCAUACAUGGAGGUCUCAAGUUAGCACAGGAAGUGAAGCUGCUGAAUCUAUGUCUCAGCACUGAAAUGAACAGCAGUAGGAUGCUAAGACCUCAGGGAUGCUGCUCCUCCUGCAGGAGCUGCCAAGGGCAGGUAAGUCAGCACAGCAUGAAGCACACACGCUGCCUCUGCUCCACUCUGCUGUCUAAACAUGCGAACUGGAGCAGAGGGCCAACAGCUGCAAGGAGAAACCAUUGCCAACAGUUCAUCACUGAGAAGUGGCUUUAGCCAGGACCCUGGUAAGAGUUGGCUGCUGCCUCUCCUGAAGCACAAUGUGUCUCUGGAUUAAUUUGAUUUAGGCUCCAGCCAUGAGCUCUCCUCAAACUGUUCCAGGGGUUUUUAGACAGGCAUGGUGAGUCAUCCAAGCCUGAAGAAAAUGCCUCUCCUUUUGCCAUGGAAGGAAAGCAACGAAGCAUCCUCUGUUGAAUUUAACUGAGGUUCUCCUUGGGGCCUUUUUUUGGACAGACUGUUUUCUUCUUGAGGCUUUUUUUUUUUUUUUUUAAUACCUACAUCCAGUGAACAUUAAUUGAGGAAUAUCAGCGUCUUGCUGUCUUGCUCUCUCAACACCAUUUGCAGCUGAAUCGACAGGAGAGAUGGCCUCCAUCACUGGAGGUCUCGGUGGAAGGAGAUGAUACUGUCUACAGCUGCCAGGACAAGGAACGGGACAGUCUGAGCACAAAGAGCCAGCAUGAACCCAUGCCUCCUGAAGCUUUCACACUCAAGGUCAAAUGUUGUCUUUGAAAACAUCUAAUAAGGAGGAAGUGUUCAAAGGAGCAAAUAGUUAACUGGAAAAUGUCAGUCUGGAGUUUCUCAGAGCCCCUGAGAGGACAGAUGCUGUUAGACAGACCGACUCCUUGCAAGAGACCUGGGAACAUGGUGGUUGGGGAAAAAGCAGAAUGGGAUGGCUGCCCAAGCUUGAGCCUUCAGGGAGCAAGAGUCAGGCGAAAUGCUAGACAGCAGGAGUUUUCCCAGAGACUGACAGAAAUACAGUAACCGGUAAACAAAUAAAGGAAGGGCAGGAAUGAUGAAUAGAAGGUUUCCACAGAUGCACAACCUUCUCCAGUAAGUUCCCAGCAGAGCAAAAGGACCACAUGAGUCAGGCUGCAAAGGCAUGCUCGAGUCUUCAUGGAGUCUGCUUCUGCAGUCACAGAUAGACAAUCCCCCCAACACCCUGGUACAGGUAAUGGCUAGCCCUUGUUUUUAAGCACUGUUAUCAUUCCUGUCCGGGCGUGAGCUUAGCAAGCCUCGCUGCUUUUGACAGGUUGUACUAAUUGUUCUGAAAAGACUAUUUCUGUUAGCUUUUCUCAAGUCACUUUCCUAAGUAACAGGAUGAAAUGCAGAAAGUUGGAGUUAAAAUGAACUUGUUAGAUGGUAAAAGCUACUGCACCAACAGCACAGAAAGAGCAGAGACAGUGCUGGUGCUCACAAAAAAACAGCUAGCAAUGUCUAGUUUUUACUUCCAUGUGACCUCACACACUGUGCGUGUUUUCCUUACACACAGACCCCUCCACAUGCUAAUAUAUGUUUGCAAUUCUUAAAGCAUAAGUAAAAUAGAUAAAGACUCAAAAAAACAGGAGAUUUGCAUGGCUAAAUCUCAGCUGAAGCUGCUAGAAGUUAAUAUUAGGAAAGGCUUUGGAAAAGAAGCAAUCUUAGCUUGGGUUUUAAAGUAAUUUCUAACUAUCAGGAGUUGCAGGGAGACGUGUAGAGAGCCAGAAGGUAGGAAGGAAGGAAAGGGCUUGUGUGAGAGUGUUGCUUAUAGCCAUUGUCCAGCAGAGAAGAAGUCUAGAUUUCAGAAAGGGACAACCAAGUCAGCUAUGACUUCUCAGAUGAAGGAAAGAGGUAGUUGAGAUACACAUGGCAGAGAUAUAUGUAGUUGUAAGGGGUCUGAAAAAGGCAAAGAGCAAUCAGUGAUUCACCACCUUUUUUACUAUAACAGCCAGAUGACAUCAAAAGAAGGUACUGGGAAUCGUCAUCACACCAAACAAGAGAUGGUGCCUUGCACAGUCUGUAGUCAAAACCACAGACCUCUCUGCAAAACAAUGUCAUGGAAACCAAAAUCCUACAGCAGCUUGAAAAGGAGGGUGAACAAGCUCAAGGGAUACAAAUCCACAACAUAUGCAGAAAUCACAUCCUUCUCAUGAAGCUCCAAGCAGAACUCUUCCCAGGCAUUUGCUAACAUCCACGACCACAUACAUGCUUCUGGGCUAACCUGACCUUGGGUCCAAACCGGCGCAGCCAGAUACUCUUACCUGCUCACUGGGCUUUGGCACGGCCCUGGACGUGCAGACCUUGAGCUCAGUACUGUACAGCCAUCUACACACCUCAGUCCUCACCACAGAGCACGCCACACCUUCACCCCAGGGACUCACCAAAAAGCACUGGAGCACCACAGGUGUCCCAUGUCACUCCCAGUGCCAUGGGAUGUGUUUGCCAGGAGCAGCCUCCCAGGAAGGCAUUAGGUGAGAGAGCAAAACUGAAAGGGCGCAGAUACAAUCGGAGGCGCUCUCUGCACUCAACAGCAGACUUCAUAGAAGUUCAGUGUCUGAUGAGAGGCUCAAUUCAGAAACAAAGCAAGAGUCGCUGUUUAGAAAAGGGCAUGGAAACAGUGACCAAAAAAAGGGAUGCCUUAGCAGUAGUAUCAAGGAGUUGCAGGUAAAAUUUGUUUUCAGUCUGGUCAUCUUGUUUCACACCUGCAUUUGACUUUUUCUCCCCUUGAAGAAAUGUUUGCUUCAUUGUUUGGUUAAAGUUGUUAUGAAGCAGUCAGCUAUUAUACUGAAUUAAAUUCUUUUUAUUACGCAAAGACUGACACUGUCUGACCUGUAACUGUGUGAAUGUGAACAGAAUAUUAAUUCAAAGUCUGUAUGAUUACACUUUGCUAUUAAAGGUCACUCGGCAUUU